UACGGAGGGUGCAAGCGUUAUCCGGAUUCACUGGGUUUAAAGGGUGCGCAGGUGGCCGAGUGUGUUAGGCGUGAAAGCCCGGGGCUUAACCCCGGAAUUGCACCUAAAACUACUUGGCUAGAGCAUUGGAGAGGGGAGCAGAAUUCAUGGUGUAGCAGUGAAAUGCGUAGAUAUUGGGAGGAACACCAGUGGCGAAGGCGGCUACCUGGACCGGUUCUGACGCUGAUGCGCGAAAGCGUGGGUAGCAAACAGG
rnacentral:rRNA from 1 species